rnacentral:lncRNA from 1 species
CCGAAAUUGAAGGAAAGAUGAGAGAAAAUCGGUUACGGUGGUUUGGACAUGUGCAAAGAAGGCCUACUGACGCUCCGAUUAGAAGAUGCGACUAUGGGACAGAGGUUCAGGGCCGAAGGGGUAGAGGAAGACCUAGGAAAACUUUGGAAGAGACUCUAAGAAAAGACUUAGAGUACUUGGAUCUAACGGAGGACAUGACACAGGACCAAGCACAAUGGCGUUCAAAGAUUCAUAUAGCAGAUCCCACUUAGUGACUUGGAUUUUCCAAGUCUCCAACCGAGAAGUUUUUCUCACUCGGGAAAUUAAGGGAAUACUACCUCAACCUACAUGCUCCACUCACAAAGCUUCAACAUACAAGCUUCAACAAAAGAAAAUUCAGAGAACUUGGCGAAGAAGGUUUUGGUGUAUUUAACACAAUACGUUGAAAUGAAGGAAAGCUAUUUAUUGAUAUCUCCGAUAAGUCAUAAAUAUGUACAUAUACAUGAGUCAAAAUAAACAAACAAGAGGGAGCCUUCACAAAGGUUGCUUAGGAGAAGUCUCAGCAGUCGGUAGAGCCCCAGAAAGAGCAGGCACUGGAGGGGGAUCAUUUGGAGCCUCAGUACUGGACAGAACCCUAGAAGGAGGAGGCAGCAGAGGUUGAUCAUUUGGAGCUUCAUUACACGGUACAGCCCCAGAAGACGAAGACAAUAAAUGCCUUUGGAACAAACCCACAAAUAUCUGAUGAUCAAGUAAAACCUGACCAUCAGAUUCCUUCAUCUGGUCAAGCUUCCUCUUCAUGUUUGUAGCAUAGUCAUGUGCGAGCCGGUGCAACUGUUUAUUCUCAUGCUUGAGCCCUCUAAUCUCCUGUUUGAGACUCAUCACUUCAGCCGCCAAUGAUUCAACUUGGCGGGUUCUAGCAAAUAGGCGUUGGGCCAUGUUAGACACAGAACCUGCACACUGAACAUUGAGAGCCAGAUAAUCCUUAACAGCCAACUCAUCAGACCGUUUGGAAAGUAGUUUGUUAUCUUUGGGAGUGAAAAGGUUCCUGGCCACUACCGCAGCGAUCAUAUCAUUCUUCAUCACGGAAUCUCCAACGGUAAGAGGACCAGUAGGGGAGACGAAUGAUGGACGCCAUAUGUUGUCUGGAGAAGGCGUGGCUGCCUCUUCAACAAGGUUCAAGUCAAAACGACGGUCGGAUGUGCCAGACAUUUUCAAAGGUGUUGAAGAGAGAAGAGGUCGGACAAAUCAAGAUCUUAGAAGUGCAAGAAUGGAGCUUCUACUGGUGGAGAUUCAAGUGUGCUUUGGAACUUAAUGCCAGCCUCUAUAAAAAUCUGCACUCGACGGAGCUUAAAAAAUCGAAGAGGCGUUUGCUUUCUCAAAAGCUGGGCUGCUCAAAGACCAUGAGACGUUUGCUUUCUCAAAAGUUGGGCUGCUCAAAGACCACGAAGGCCGAUCUCAGAAAUCGAAGAGGAGCUUGCUUUCUCAAAAGCUGGGCUGCUCAUAGGCCACGAGGGCUGAUCUCAGAAAUCGAAGAGUCACCUACUUUUCCAGCCUUGUCAGCACCUGUCAGCUUUGCGGAAAUUAUGGGCAUUAUGUCAAAGAUUUCUGGUGAAGUAGAAAGCACAUGAAUCUUACUGUUCAAUCACCCACUUCCCACACGCAACAUUAGCUCAUGGGUACCACAGAUAACUUUGCCAAAGUUCUCUGACAAAGUUGAGACACGUGAAGCUUGCAGCUCCCACUACAUCGCUCUGACCAAGAAGGGUAAAAGAAUAGCAAAUAAACAGCACUAACAAAGUUUAGACACAUAAAUUUUGAAGGUCUAGCUACCAUAUUAUUACCCACAAGGGUAAAGGAAUAGUACCACUGCUGGAUAAUUGGAAAGUCCCUGUGUAUCAACCUCUGUGCUUCGUAGUAAGAUAGACUAGCAAACAUGCCAAACAUUUUCUCACAUUCGAGAAAACACUCCCAACAAGAUUGCUUGCUCCAAAAUCGAAGAGGCACCGUCCUCCGAAUCUCGAGAGCCAGACUCCCAACAUGAUUACUUUCUCAAAAAUCGAAGAGACACCGCUAUCCGAAUCUCGAGAGCCAGACCCCUAGCAGGAUUGCUUUCUCAAAAAUUGAAAAGGCAUUGUUCUCCGAAUCUCGAGAGCCAGAUCUCCAACAGGAUUGCUUGUUCGAAAACCGAAGAGGCACCAUUUUCCCAACUUCAAGAGCCGGAUCUUCUUGGAUAAAGCUUGUCUGUAAUCUUUACACGCAACAUCAGCUUUCUAGAUACCACAGACCACUUUUUCAAAGUGCUCUGACAGAGUUAAAACAUGUGAAGCUGGCAGCUCCCACUACCAUGUUAUGACCAAGCAUGGUAAAUGAAUAGCAUUACUACUUGUUGUUAGGGAGACUCUUAUAUAUGUUGACCUCCAUCCCCAACAGACAGGCAGACCUGCAAAAAUGCCCAAUCCUUCCUCAUAUCUGAGAGGGCACUCCCAAAGAAGCCUUUCUAAAUAUUCAGCUUUCUUUCCCCCCGAUAAUACCUCUGCAAACAAGCUAUAUUAGAGCAAGAAUAUCUCAUAUUAUCAGGGUUAAAAGCAAGAGUAUCUCAUAUCAUGUUUUUUCCCUGUCUUUUCCUUUGGCCUUGUUCUUACCUGCAAGACAAGGAGAAAGAGAGCAAUCAGUCAGCACUUGGAAUCAAGCUUCCAGUCAGGAACUGACUGCUUGGAACCCCUUACUUGAUUACUUACCUGGCAUUGUUCUCGAGUACUCAUCUUCAACAUUUUAUGCUUCCAGGGAAGAUACCGCAUCUGCCUGAGGAACAUAUAGGACAAGUGAGAAGGAUACAAGGAAGCAUGUGGAAACAAGCGUAACAGCACACGUGCCGAUACAUCCACUACUCUGUCAAAAGCAAAAGUAUCCCAUAUCAGCAGGGUCGAACGUACUAUAGAUUUGAUGGACUUGUUUUGACCCUCAAAUUCUUCAGUCGGCCUUAUACUCUGGAGGAAACCAGAAAACCCUCCAGCCCAGUUCAAGAAUAAGCCUGUGGAAAGUUACUUCUUCAAAAGCAAAAGUAUCCCAUAUCAUCUCUUCUCAUUUUUCUUCUCUUUAUCCUUCAUGCUGCCUGCAAGAUAGGGAGAAUGUGAACAAUCAGCCGGAACUCGAAAUCAAAGUUCUGAUCUGGGACUGAUUGCUUGGAGCUCUGAUUGCUUACCUUGUCUGUCACAUCUUUCAGCAGAUCCCCUAGCUCGGCGACUUGGAGGACUCAUACUACAUGGUUUGUAUCGCGCUUGACCAAGCCUGAAACUACAAGUAAGCUUCAAGUGAAAUUGAUACAUUACCUUGUGCAUCUCCACCAGUUAAAGAUACCACUUCUGGAUGGAGGAAGAGUACUUCCAGAGAAGAUGCCACAUCUACCUACGUGACAGAUAAGGCAAGUCAAGACGAUACCACACUCCGGAACUUAGAAGUUUCGUGAUUACGAGAUCAUUCUCCCACAAUAUUUCCUAAUGUCAUUUGUACUAAAUCAUUCACUAGUACUCACUAAAAGAGAGCUUGAACCUAUGUACUUGUGUAAACCCUUCACAAUUAAUGAGAACUCCUCUAUUUCGUGGACGUAGCCAAUAUGGGUGAACCACGUACAUCUGGUGUUUGCUUUCCUAUCUCUAUAUCCAUUUAUAUACUUAUCCACACUAAUGACCGGAGCAAUCUAGCGACGAUCACAAAAAGCGAUCGUUUUCGUUACCUAGGAUCUAUCUUGCAAGAGAACGAAGAAUUAGAUGGAGAUCUCAACCAUAGAAUACAAGCUGGAUGGAUGAGGUGUAAGAGUGCAUCCGGUGUGUUGUGUGACCGUUGUAGGUCACUGAAGCUCAAGGGAAAAUUUUAUAGGACGGCAAUAAGGCCAACGAUGUUGUAUGGCACAGAAUGUUGGGCGGUGAAACAUCAACACGUACACAAAAUGGGUGUAGCGGAGAUAAGGAUGCUUCGUGGGAUGUGUGGGCACACGAGAAAUGAUAAGAUUGUGAAUGAGGAUAUCCGAGGUAAAGUAGGAGUAGCCGAAGUUAAAGGAAAGAUGAGAGAAAAUCGGUUACGGUGGUUUGGACAUGUGCAAAGAAGGCCUACUGACGCUCCGGUUCGAAGAUGUGACUACGGAACAGAGGUUCGGGGCCGAAGGGGUAGAGGAAGACCUAUGAAAACUUUGGAAGAGACCCUAAGAAAAGACUUAGAGUACUUGGAUCUAACGGAGGACAUGACACAAAACCGAA